AACUGUCCUUUUAGGGAUGGAUGAAUCUGUCCUAUUUAAGGCGGUGCCCUUUUCUGGUAUUCCCUAACACAAGCUUGACCCGAAGUAGGCGUUCUGAAAAAGGCCGACAGUCGAUGGAGGCCAACGCAGCGCUCCUCUCACCUCCUCUCUCCGUCCAGGCCGGGUGACCAUAAGCGCGGCCAGCGGAAAGGAGGCGGUGCGGCCCGUAGGGUUGAGGCCCGGAGGGGGCGGGGCCUCCCUCGCGACCUGGCCCGGAGAGGGUGGGGCUUCCGGGAAGGGGCCUCUAGCGCGCACUCUCGGAAGCGCAGCCGAACCCGCCCUCCGAGCCCAGAGAGGCGCUGCUGCCGCUGCCACCGCCGCCCCGCCGCCGCUGCCUUAGUUAUGCCGAAGCACGUGUUCUCUGUGGACAUGACCUGUGGAAGCUGUGCUGAAGCUGUUUCUCGGGUCCUUGAUAAGUUUGGAGGAGUUAAGUAUGACCUUGACCUGGGGCCCCACAGAGAUUCUGCAUUGGAAUCCUGAGCCACAGCGUGGGCGGACACUCUGCUUGCAACCCUGAAGAAAACAGGAAAGACUGUUUCCUACCUUGGCCUCGAGUAGUAGGGACCUGGUCCCCACAGCCCACAGGAUGAACCAAAGCGGGCAGGAUGCUGAUCCUCCUCCCCUGGCUUCCAGACAGACCUGGGACUUGGCAGUCAUGCUGGGCAAUGGUGUUCCUGUGGAGACCCUCAGUUGUCCUAUUCCUUCCUAGCUUCCCCGCAAUAAAAUCAAGCUGCUUUUGUUGGA